AUUGUAUUAUUAAUGCUACUUGUCAGUCUUUGGUUCUUCAAACUGACAUAUUUUUCUUUGAUUACAGUUUAAGUCAUAGCAAAACCAAGACAGGAGUUUAUGUUAAGGUAUGUCAUACAAUUUUGACUAUGUCUUGACUGGAUCUGCUGUGCUCAUAUCAUCUCAGCUGAUAGGAAAGCACUAUUCCCUAACUGGUGUUGAUAUAUUGCAGGAGGAAGUGAGGUUGAGUUUUGCUGUAGAUGUUGUACUUCCAGAUUCUGAAGACUGCCUAAAUAAAGUUCCCUUAGAAAUGAAGUCUCAUUUAGCUUCAGGAGGUGAUGCCAGAGUAAACUCUCCAAGAGGUAAGCAAGCAAGCCAAACUAAACUUGGGGAAUUUUAGCUCCUCCUGUACUGCAUG
rnacentral:lncRNA from 1 species